GGCCAUGUGUGUUGACACAUUAAAAGCCAAUGGCUUUCCAUGGACUUUGAGAAACAGUAACAACACCAUGUCCCUUUCAUCCACACACUAAAGCCUCACACAAUACUUUUUAAACUCAUCUAUCAAUUUGAACACCAAAACCAAGAUACCUUGACAAUAUUAGACAAGCCGCUUACGAAUGCUACGUUUCAUUAAACCUCGUAUCAAUCAGUUUUUGUACUUAAUACUUACGUACCAUCCCAUCAAUACGGCCCCAAUUUGUCAAAAGAAACCCUAAUUUGUAGAAAUAUAAUAUUAAUAAAAAUAUUAUGAAAGAAUAAUAGGCUGUCGAUAACUGACAGAGAGUCGCCUCAUGUGUCUCGUACUCAAUUAUUUUGCAGAUUUUCUUACACCGUCAAAAGCAA
rnacentral:lncRNA from 1 species